CCCAGAGUUCGCAGGUCUGGGGCUCUCUUCCCAGAGAGCUCGUAGGGGAGGACAGUCAAGGGACUCAAGCGUCUCUCUUGACUCCCCUUCUCUCGCUGUGCAGUGGCGGCGCCGAGGGGUCGACGCUCAGGGCUAAUCUCUAUGAGUCACCCUCGAGGCCCCGGGUAAUAUUGGGUGGAUCACAAGAACUAAUCUUUCAUGAUUUGGAAACCGGAAGGAAAGAAGCACUUUUGUAGCUGACUUACCUCAAUGACAUGACCAGUGUCUGAGCCUACAACUGCGCUAUCUUCCCUGGAUUUUUCUUCACCUUUUCCUUACUCAUGAGCCAGUUAAGUGAAGUUGAACCUAACCCUAGCCGAAAGAGCACUGUUGUCUGAAUGCAACCGCAGGACACUGAGAAGCUGGAUAAGCACUCUCUUAGUGCUCUGUGUUGGAUUUGUGUAUGGCUUGGAUCACACUCCCUACCCUAACCUUGAUUCCAGAGAGUUGGGCCAGCUCAGGGUGGGGUGUAGGAGGAUACACUGUAUACACUCUGACAGUAUAUGUGUCUCCUCAACAUUCAGAGGCCACAUGGCAGGGCAGAUGUCCAUUAACUAUCUUGGGCUUAUCACAUCUCUUUAAUAAACAACAGUGGGGACAGAUAGUGCCCUACAGGCAUAUUACAGGGAAGACUUGAUGAAAUUUAGCAUUGUUUAUUGUCUGUCUUACAAACAAUGCACUUAGAUUUUUACCAUGAAACUAGCAGUAGAGUCCCUGAAGCUCAAGUUUAAAAAGCCUCAAGUCAAACGAUAUAUAUAUAUAUAUUUGUAAUUUUGUUAUGUGUUGGAGAGUUGACAUCAGCUGGCAUAUAUGACUGUCCAUACCAGCUGUUAUAUUAUUAAAAUAAUUUCGGCCGGGCACGGUGGUUCAUGCCUGUAAUCCCAGCACUUUGG
rnacentral:lncRNA from 1 species